rnacentral:rRNA from 1 species
AUUGAACGCUGGCGGCAUGCUUUACACAUGCAAGUCGAACGGUAACAGGCCGCAAGGUGCUGACGAGUGGCGAACGGGUGAGUAAUGCAUCGGAACGUGCACAGUCGUGGCGGAUAACUGCUCGAAAGAGCAGCUAAGACCGCAUACGAGCUAUGGAUGAACGCGGGGGACCGUAAGGCCUUGCUCGUUAGGAGCGGCGGAUGUCAGAUUAGGUAGUUGGUGGGGUAAAGGCUCACCAAGCCAACGAUCUGUAGCUGGUCUGAGAGGACGACCAGCCACACUGGGACUGAGACACGGCCCAGACUCCUACGGGAGGCAGCAGUGGGGAAUUUUGGACAAUGGGGGCAACCCUGAUCCAGCAAUGCCGCGUGCAGGAAGAAGGCCUUCGGGUUGUAAACUGCUUUUGUACGGAACGAAACGGUCUGGGCUAAUACCCUGGGCUAAUGACGGUAACGUAAGAAUAAGCACCGGCUAACUACGUGCCAGCCGCCGCCGUAAUAC